AUCCAUGAGUGAAAAUAUAAUAGUAAGGGAAUUUAUCAGUUUAUCUUUUGGUGACGUAUGUGCUUUAAUAAUUUGUACCCAUACAAGAAAAUCCACUUUUUGUUUCGCAUUCGAUUCGUCAAUAUCUAAUAACUACUUAUUUGUAAAAAAUAUAAAUUUCGACUGUAAGUUGAAAAAAAAAAGUUUACACAUUUUUGGAACUAAAGGAAAAAAAAGGCUGCGUACUUAUCAUAAUACAGUGACUCUUCAACAACAAAACUUGGACUAGUUGUUUAUAUAUAAACUUUAUACUUAACAAAAAAUUGUAAUUCAAAAAGAAAACCUUCAUCACGUAACCAAAUUAUUCAAAUUUGUUAAAAAUUUAUUUUUUUUUUGUAAAAAAAUUAUUUACAAAUAAUUUAUUAAUUAAUUUUUAUUUUGAAAAUUUUUGUUUUGAAAUAUUUUUCUAAAAUGAAUUCAACACAACUUAUGGCUGAGGCAGAUUCUAAUAAUAGCAAUUCUUUAAUUGGUUUUGUAAUUAAUAAAAUUAUUGGUAUAAUUGUUAAUUCAAUAAUAGGAAUAAUUCCAUUAAAUUAUUGUGUGAGAAAAAUUGUUGGUGGUGCGUCAACGCUUAGUAUUUUUGGCAAUUGUGCAUUAGACAUUAUUGCAUUGAUUCCAAUUUUUACUCCAUUUGUCGUUGCAUUUCGAUUGGGUUUAAGUACUGUUUCAAGUGCAUUAAAAUAUAUUACAAAAAUAUACAACAUUAUUUCAAAGAUAUUUAAUUUCAUUUUUGGCAGUUCAAAUAAUUCAACAAGUACCUAAAAUUUAAAAAACAAAAUUGAUUCCUCGAAGAAAAAGAAAUUUUUUAUUAAAAAAUUUUAAUUACAUUAUCUGUACAAAAAAAAAAAUAAUUGAAUUUAAUUAAUAAUUCAAAUAAUUCAAAAAAAUUUAGAAUUAUUAUUCCUAUUAUUUAGAAUUAUUUACUAUUUGAUCAGGCAAAUUUUUAUUUAUAUUUUUUAAUUAAUUUAAUUUUUGAAAUAAAUUAAAUUUUUCUUUUCAACUAUAAUUACAAUCGAUAUUGUUGAGAAAUAUAUUACUUUUAUUUAUUUAUCAUCUAUUUUAUUAUAUUAUAAUAUUAUAUUUUUAUUAAAUUAUAAAAUUAUUGUUCUUAUCAAUAGGAUAAAAAUUUUAUUUAUCAUUUUUAUUAUUUAUUGACUUUUUUGAAGUAAUUUUGGUUACCAAAUGGUUUUCAUCAAAUUUUUUCCAAUCUUUGGAUAGUUUUUCACUUUUUUAUUUUAAGCAUUUUUAAAUGAAUUGAGAAGAUGAAAAAGAAUUUUAUUAAAAUAUUUUUUGUAAAUUUGGACGAGAAAAUUCUUAGUCAAAACGAAAGGAUAUGGAUCAGAAAUAUUCAAAAUGGCGGACGCAAUAUGGCAGUUUAAUCUUGAUCAAAAUUUGCUAUAGUACAGUAAAACGAAAAUUAAACUAUAGCAAAAAAAGGAUAAUUAUAUUACAAAUAUGUUAUCAUUAUUGUGCAAGUUAAAAAAAAACAGCCAAAAUUUCAUUAUUUUUGAAAAUUUAUAAAUAAUUGAAAUUUAUUAAAAAUUGUUAAUUUAGUGAAAGAAUUAAAAAAAAAUCGAAUACUA